UGAGUCGGUCGGGUGACCGCGGGCCGGGGUCGUCUCGGCGACGACCGGUCUGAGGAAGGUCGGGGCUCCACCGGGCAUGGUGCUGGCUAACGGCCAGUCGGGGCGACCCGCAGGAAAGUGCCACAGAGAACAGACCGCCGAUGGCCCUCGGGCACAGGCAAGGGUGAAACGGUGCGGUAAGAGCGCACCAGCAUCGGGGGUGACCUCGAUGGCUCGGCAAACCCCACCAGGAGCAAGGCCGAAUGUCGGAGAUGGGCGGCCCGUCCGUCGGUCCUCCGGGACAGACACUCCGCUGGUAGGCCGCACAGAUGGAUGGUCACCCAGGCGCCGGGAGGCGCUGGACAGAACCCCGCCUACAGACCGACUCAUCAU
rnacentral:RNase_P_RNA from 1 species